AACGCGAAGAACCUUACCCAGACUUGACAUCCUCGGAACUUUGCAGAGAUGCGAAGGUGCCCGCAAGGGAGCCGGGAGACAGGUGCUGCAUGGCUGUCGUCAGCUCGUGUCGUGAGAUGUUGGGUUAAGUCCCGCAACGAGCGCAACCCUCGCCUUCAGUUGCCAUCAUUCAGUUGGGCACUCUGGAGGGACUGCCGGUGUCAAGCCGGAGGAAGGUGGGGAUGACGUCAAGUCCUCAUGGCCUUUAUGUCUGGGGCUACACACGUGCUACAAUGGCCGGUACAAAGGGCUGCUAAGGCGCGAGCCGGAGCCAAUCCCAGAAAACCGGUCCCAGUUCGGAUCGAAGUCUGCAACUCGACUUCGUGAAGUCGGAAUCGCUAGUAAUCGCGGAUCAGAACGCCGCGGUGAAUACGUUCCCGGGCCUUGUACACACCGAGUAUA
rnacentral:rRNA from 1 species